CCUACGGGAUGCACCAGUAGGGAAUCUUCCACAAUGGACGCAAGUCUGAUGGAGCAACGCCGCGUGAGUGAAGAAGGGUUUCGGCUCGUAAAGCUCUGUUGUUGGUGAAGAAGGACAGGGGUAGUAACUGACCUUUGUUUGACGGUAAUCAAUUAGAAAGUCACGGCUAACUACGUGCCAGCAGCCGCGGUAAUACGUAGGUGGCAAGCGUUGUCCGGAUUUAUUGGGCGUAAAGCGAGUGCAGGCGGCUCGAUAAGUCUGAUGUGAAAGCCUUCGGCUCAACCGGAGAAUUGCAUCAGAAACUGUCGAGCUUGAGUACAGAAGAGGAGAGUGGAACUCCAUGUGUAGCGGUGAAAUGCGUAGAUAUAUGGAAGAACACCGGUGGCGAAGGCGGCUCUCUGGUCUGUUACUGACGCUGAGGCUCGAAAGCAUGGGUAGCGAACAGGAUUAGAUACCCCCGUAGUC
rnacentral:rRNA from 1 species